rnacentral:rRNA from 1 species
UACAGAGGGGGCGAGCGUUGUUCGGAAUUACUGGGCGUAAAGGGCGCGUAGGCGGCCAACUAAGUCAGACGUGAAAUCCCUCGGCUCAACCGGGGAACUGCGUCUGAUACUGGAUGGCUUGAAUUCGGGAGAGGGAUGCGGAAUUCCAGGUGUAGCGGUGAAAUGCGUAGAUAUCUGGAGGAACACCGGUGGUGUAGACAGCUUACUGGACCACUUCUGACGCUGAGACACGAAAGCGUGGGUAGCAAACAGG